rnacentral:rRNA from 1 species
AUUGAACGCUGGCGGCAGGCUUAACACAUGCAAGUCGAGCGGGGUGAUGGUGCUUGCACUAUCACUUAGCGGCGGACGGGUGAGUAAUGCUUAGGAAUCUGCCUAUUAGUGGGGGACAACAUCUCGAAAGGGAUGCUAAUACCGCAUACGUCCUACGGGAGAAAGCAGGGGAUCACUUGCGACCUUGCGCUAAUAGAUGAGCCUAAGUCGGAUUAGCUAGUUGGUGGGGUAAAGGCCUACCAAGGCGACGAUCUGUAGCGGGUCUGAGAGGAUGAUCCGCCACACUGGGACUGAGACACGGCCCAGACUCCUACGGGAGGCAGCAGUGGGGAAUAUUGGAAAAUGGGGGGAACCCUGAUCCAGCCAUGCCGCGUGUGUGAAGAAGGCCUUAUGGUCGUAAAGCACUUUAAGCGAGGAGGAGGCUCUUUUGGUUAAUACCCAAGAUGAGUGGACGUUACUCGCAGAAUAAGCACCGGCUAACUCUGUGCCAGCCGCCGCCGUAA